CACUAUGGCAGGCUGAAUAGGGUGCCCUUCUGGGCAGCCGUUCCUGUGAUACGGUAAAUUUCCACCCCUGUUCAGUCUGUCACCAAU
rnacentral:antisense_RNA from 1 species